rnacentral:lncRNA from 1 species
GGUGAAUAUUAGUGCCACAGGGUCCUGAUUAGACUUAUAAGUUAUAUAGACUAUCUGGAGUGGCACCAGAUUUACUGUGUAACCUCAUCGAUAUUUCUAAUAGCAUCUUAAAGAAAAAAAUAAGUCGCUAGCAGGUUCUUAGCCACGUGGCAUAAUAUGUAUCUAAACCAAAUCAUCAAAAUUUUAACAAUGAAUUGAAAUAAGAACAUUUUCCAAUUGUGUACAAGUUUGCAAUGCUGUCCAGACAUUGAUUAUUAUUUAACAUCUAUGUUAACUAAUCCAAGCAUUGGUUAUGGAAGGUUUAUAGAAAUAUAAGGUGAGACCGUUGGUGUCAGGAAAAAAUGGC